rnacentral:rRNA from 1 species
AAGACAACUUUACGGAGUUGACGAUUGACGGAGCGAAGCGACGUCAAAGCGUUCAUUAAAGUCGAGUUGGCUUAGGGAUACGUUCGUUGGGUAGGGGAGCGUUCUGUAAGCCUGUGAAGGUGGCCUGUGAGGGUUGCUGGAGGUAUCAGAAGUGCGAAUGCUGACAUAAGUAACGAUAAAGCGGGUGAAAAGCCCGCUCGCCGGAAGACCAAGGGUUCCUGUCCAACGUUAAUCGGGGCAGGGUGAGUCGACCCCUAAGGCGAGGCCGAAAGGCGUAGUCGAUGGGAAACGGGUUAAUAUUCCCGUACUUGGUGUUACUGCGAAGGGGGGACGGAGAAGGCUAUGUUGGCCGGGCGACGGUUGUCCCGGUUUAAGCGUGUAGGUGUGUGUUCCAGGUAAAUCCGGUUCACUUUAACACUGAGGCGUGACGACGAGGCACUACGGUGCUGAAGCAACAAAUGCCCUGCUUCCAGGAAAAGCCUCUAAGCAUCAGGUAACAUCAAAUCGUACCCCAAACCGACACAGGUGGUCAGGUAGAGAAUACCAAGGCGCUUGAGAGAACUCGGGUGAAGGAACUAGGCAAAAUGGUGCCGUAACUUCGGGAGAAGGCACGCUGACACGUAGGUGAAGUGAUUUACUCAUGGAGCUGAAGUCAGUCGAAGAUACCAGCUGGCUGCAACUGUUUAUUAAAAACACAGCACUGUGCAAACACGAAAGUGGACGUAUACGGUGUGACGCCUGCCCGGUGCCGGAAGGUUAAUUGAUGGGGUCAGCGCAAGCGAAGCUCCUGAUCGAAGCCCCGGUAAACGGCGGCCGUAACUAUAACGGUCCUAAGGUAGCGAAAUUCCUUGUCGGGUAAGUUCCGACCUGCACGAAUGGCGUAAUGAUGGCCAGGCUGUCUCCACCCGAGACUCAGUGAAAUUGAACUCGCUGUGAAGAUGCAGUGUACCCGCGGCAAGACGGAAAGACCCCGUGAACCUUUACUAUAGCUUGACACUGAACAUUGAGCCUUGAUGUGUAGGAUAGGUGGGAGGCUUUGAAGUGU